GACGAACGCUGGCGGCGUGCUUAACACAUGCAAGUCGAACGGUGAAAGCGGAGCUUGCUCCGCUGGAUCAGUGGCGAACGGGUGAGUAACACGUGGGCAACCUGCCCCUCACUUCGGGAUAACUCCGGGAAACCGGGGCUAAUACCGGAUAUGACCUCCUUGGGCAUCCUUGGAGGUGGAAAGUGUUUCGGUGAGGGAUGGGCCCGCGGCCUAUCAGCUUGUUGGUGCGGUAGUGGCUCACCAAGGCGACGACGGGUAGCCGGCCUGAGAGGGCGACCGGCCACACUGGGACUGAGACACGGCCCAGACUCCUACGGGAGGCAGCAGUGGGGAAUAUUGCGCAAUGGGCGAAAGCCUGACGCAGCAACGCCGCGUGCGGGAUGACGGCCUUCGGGUUGUGAACCGCUUUCAGCAGGGAAGAAGCCGCAAGGUGACGGUACCUGCAGAAGAAGCACCGGCUAACUACGUGCCAGCCGCCGCAGUAA
rnacentral:rRNA from 1 species